rnacentral:misc_RNA from 1 species
UACAGAGGGUGCGAGCGUUAAUCGGAUUUACUGAGCGUAAAGCGUGCGUAGGCGGCUUUUUAAGUCGGAUGUGACAUCCCCGGGCUCAACCUGGGAACUGCAUCCGAAACUGGCAGGCUAGAGUCUUGUAGAUGGGGGUAGAAUUACAGGUGUAGCGGUGAAAUGCGUAGAGAUCUGGAGGAAUACCGGUGGCGAAGGCGGCCCCCCGGACAAAGACUGACGUUCAGGUGCGAAAGCGUGGGGAGCGAAAGG